AGCAGUUGGCCUGGAAGACAAACUGCCUUCCAGCCACAAUCCCUUACCAUGGCUGAUACAGCGUGCUUUGGAAGCAGGUACAUGGUGACCUCCACAGAUGGCAGCCAGCAGCAGAAACACAGUUGAACCUGCAGCGAUAACAGCACAACAAAAAAGGCUGGCACUUUGGAUUGCAACAUUACUGAAAUGAAAAGCGUGAACGCUACAGGAAUUUCUGCUCUAUGGAAAAAUGUUAUUUUUGGAUUCUUCAGGAAGGCGUGCGUAUAAAACCACUGGUUCCCUGGAAUCUCGGAGGCUGCACCACCCUUGGCCUGGCUGAAUGUGACUUCUCCUCCCCAUCCACUUCUCCAUCUUGCACUUGUAUGUCCUCGUGCGCGUCCUGGGAGCCGAUCGCUGUGCUCACACUGCUGCGGGAUCCAUUGGAGGGCGGUCGCUCAUAAUUGACCACGAGGUAGGAUGUCCUUCUGGAUAAAGCACUAGAUUAAGGCUCAGGAGUCAAUGUCUUUAUCCUCUCCACCCACAUGCCUCAUUUUAUUAGAUCGCCAGUUCAAAAGGUCAUAGAAAAUCACUGUUGAUGGCAUCAGAAAAGACACAGAAAGGUUUGAUAGCAGGUAGAUCUUCCCCUGGAUCAGCAGCUUCAUUCCAGAGCACAGAGGAGUAAUGAUGAUGCCUGUCAUUCACUCCUGUACUGCACUGGUGGUCAGGAGAUCCUGCAGCUGUCUAGUGAAUCUGUAAAGUGGAGGUAAGGCCACAAGAUCCUGGUGCUUUGAGGAAUUGUAGCUUUGCUUUCCAACCCCAAGAAGUCCUCAGAAAGCCACGUUCGGAUGAGCAGUAGCCUAGCCCCCUCCAUCUUCCCUACAGCACUCAUUGGGUACGUACAGCAGUUUAGGAACUUCUGCCCUCGGUCAUCCUGGACAGAAGCACAGGGUCAGAGCAGUUUUGGGGCAUGGCAGCUGGGGACCCUCCUCCGAGGACAGUCCUGUCCCCACAGGCCAUUUGGCCUCUCCUGGAUGCUGACACCAGGGGCCAAACUGGAACUAUAUCAGCUCUGUUUCACUGAGCAUCCAACCAACAAAACCAACUUGUACCUACUGGGCACAGGACUGGCGAGCCCACUGAAACCUGGGAGUGGUGUUUGCUUGGCUGAUACCAACCUCCUGAGCGAGCAGCAGUUCGCAGCAGUUCUCGGUCUGAAUCCAGUGUGCUCAGCUGUGGAAAAAUGGAAAAGAAAGGAAUAGUUUUGGGCAGGGGCUCCCCAGCUGGUGGGUGCACAUGGCUGCUUGCAGGUGCUCUGCAAGCAGUGGAGACCCAGGGCAGCUCCUGUGUCCCAGCACAGUCCUCUUCAGGCGGAGAAGGUUUCCAGUCCUGGACUUUCACAUGAGCUCUGUUCCCUUCUUUAGCACAGAUAGUCCCCAUUACCUUGGGCAAAUUGCUUUCCCCUGGACCAGCAAAGGUAAUUAGACCUCUGUGUCCCACCGGACUCCAUGGGAGCUGGUCACUGACAUGUCUCUGAGGGUCCUUCCCACUGCAAGCCCUCCGGAUGAAUAAAAGGGGACGUUAACAGCAGUUCCUUGCCUCCCCAGAGUGUUGUAAGAAAAAAAUACAGCACGGGGAAAUUAACAGUGCUUGCAUGGGAUCAAGAGGGAGAGCGUAAGGAGGUGGUACAAAGUCCGGAGGUUUGAUAGCUGGGUUUGAUUAGGCAGUGGAACUGGCUGAUAAAUCAGAUCUCGUUCAAUUUGAGAAUCUGCCUGGCUGGCCAGAGGACGGGCUCGCACUGGAGGUGGUGGCGUGCAUUGGUGAUGCUGCCCGCGCUCAGGAAAUGUAUUGGCUGCUGGAGGAGGAAUAAAAGUUAUUGACAUGAAAUUUGCUGAACCUCAGAAGAAGUUUGACUUGGGUUCAGUUCAAGCCUAACGGCUUCUCCUUUUUCCUUGGCCAGUCUGCGACUGCCUGGUUGGACCUGCCACACGCCUGAGACGCAGCCACGCGCAGGUGGCCGGCAAAAAGCCGGAUGGGCUGCCGGCAGCACACACUCACCGAUCACCUUCCCCAUAAUGCUGGCGAAGGGAAGCCUCGGCAUGCUUUGUGGAGCUCUUCAUCCUUUUCAAUGUAUGGGUAGCUCUGCUUUGCUGAGGUUAUGCUGGAUUUUUUGAAGGUGUCUGUUUGAGGCUUCUCGGAGAGGAGUGGUCUUCUCGGCCGGGAUUUUCAGCACUGUUGGGAAAGAUAGGAGACGAUGCUCUUCCCGCUUCAUGUUUCACCAUGUGACCUAUGACUGACGCAAGAGCCAAGGUGUUCCUUUGGCUUGUUCUCUCAUUGGAAAAAUUGCAGUUUAGCCUAAAGGAAACAGCAGAUGCAAAUGGUUUGGAAAUUGUAAGAGGUCUGUGUUCAUUGCUGUGAUAUUUGCUGCUGUUUCUUCUCUGUGGAUUGGAUCCCAUGGGAAGCUGCGCCCUGCAGCUCUUUCUGCUUCAGCAUCCUUUGCCGUCACCGAGGCCGGCAGCGAGUGACUUCAGGCUGCGAAGCCACCGCCGGUCCAGCCCGGCCAGCUUGUCCCUGGGAGCGAGACGCACCUUCUGCAAUACUCCCCAAAAUUUCUCUUUUCACUUCUCACUGCCUGGAACAUUUAAUAACGAAACUUCAUAGCAACAAUACAUUUCUAGCUGUUGUGUAUUUUUCAAAUGGAGAAAGUGCGUGACUAUUCAUCUCUGGCUGAAUGUGAAAUGACACCACAUGGCAGUGGGACUGAACAAGGUCCCUCCGGCUAUGUUCGGGGAGAGGGGCAGCUCGAGAGAGAUGGAAAUACAGCUUUUAUUAAGGGGAAAAAAACCACCUUUCUCUGCUGUGGAGGCUGGCAUUAGGUUUGGAUGAAGGCAGCCUUUCUGUCCUACAAAACCUGAGACACCAGUGCUUUCCUUGGAUUGCAGCAGGACUGUAUUGGAAUGGCUCGAGUUUGUUUUCCUACAAAAUGAAAGCAGCAGCACAGGGGAUAAUCCUGUCCUCAUGGCACUGGCCUGACCUGUGGUUCAAUCCCUGUUUGUCCUGACCCGAAACAGGGAACUGAACCUAAUAUCCCAUAUCUCAGAUGGGUGCUCUCGUCUCCAGCGUUAAAGUCGGACUCUUUCUCCCUGAAUAACUGCUUAAUUAUUUGUACAAAUUGGCCCAGCUCCACCCAGGAGAGAUUUAAAGAAAUAGGGCUGCAAUCACCUGUAGAGCCAGGUCUUCUCCUGGGAUGCGAGAGUCCAUGUCCCUGUUCCAAGCAAGGGGCCUCUCCUGGGGUGGGGACCACCAUGGAUGGGUGCCAUCACCCACCGUUGACGACCUGCUGGGAGAUGAUUUUACCUCUGUGGGUUUGACUAGAAAUCCAGGCUUGAGCACAGGCAACUUUUCCAAGCAGCACUUCAUGGAAUCUGGUAGUUUGCUACCAAAAAAAAAAAACCAAACCAGUUUUGGUUUUGCCGAACUGACAUUUUCUGACACAAGAAAACAUGUUGUCAAAAAACUUCCCAACCGCUCUGCUGGGAAUAUGCUCUUUGCCAUCAGUCCCCAAGGCUGGAACGCUGGGGUGUUGAAAUGUUACUACAGCCCUGGAAACUGUGAGUCAGCUUGUCCCCACCCACAGCAGAUACUCGUGGGAAGGGCCUUGAAAAGCCUGGAAACUCAGCAGCUCUUGCCAUAUGGAGUUUCCAUUAACCCAUUAACAUUAAUUUCAGGUCUGGUGAAAUGUGGUAUUUGGCAAAUUUCUGUCAGAUUUUGUCCCUUUUUCCCCCCGUCCCCUUCCUGAUUGUGAUAAAUUUUGGAGGAUAUUUAAUUUCAACUCAUCCCUAAGCCAUUUGGCUGCCGUGGCCCCCAAUCACCCCCCAAGCCCUGUGGGACUGGCUGGACCUGGGCAGCGAAUGCAGCACCCACCGCGGUGCCACUGGAUCCGGUGGGGAUUUGGAUGGGGUCACUGGAUGGCAAAACUUUCAUCCCACUUGGAGGAAAGGUGCCGGUGCAAACUUCACCAGUGCAAAACCCUCCCAGCUGUAUCGCUGUGCUGGGAUAUAAAUGCAUUGACUUGGGCAUCUCCUGGCAGGGAAGAGGGUCGUGCAGCGAUGUCCCAGCUUCACCAGGAAAAGACAUGCGGCUGCUCUGCUCCCCGUGGGGAUGCUGGCAAAAGCCGCAUGGGUGCCUGCCGUCCCUGCCAGCAGCUGGGCAGCCUGUCUGCCCACACUGGCGGUGGCCGCGGUGCAUCGUCACACACAGCAGGGUUGCCUUGAGUGGGUCGGGGUCUGGGUGCGAUGCUGCCGUGUGCAUGCAUGCUCUGUGCACAAGCCCUGCUGCAGUGGGACAUGCAAACCCACUUUUGGGGCGCGAGGUCGGCGGGAUGUGAGCUGUGCUUCCCGCAGGCGAAUCCACCGUGCUGAAGCUAAGCCCUGUUUUCAGAGCAGUUUGUGCAAACCACUGACCUCAGGCUAUCUCAGAGCCAUCUGCAAACUGCAUUUAUUGCCGACUGGAAAACACGUGAAGGUAGCAAAUCCCAGGUCUUAACUCAGCAUACGGUGAUAUGAAACAACCCGUGCGUUCCCCUGAAGCAUGCCCUCGCGUAUGUCCCAGGAGCGGUGGCAAAGGGCGGGUACAACUUGAGCCCAGAGGAGCCCGGAUGGGCUUUGCCGUGGCUGCAGCUCGCCCGGGACGGUGGCACGUGCCGAGGUGGUGGGGUGAGAUCACAUCCUCUGCAUGAAGAGUUUCAAGAUGCCCAGGUCUGGGAGCAUGGAGUCCAGCAGUUGUGAAAUUCUCCAUACAGGAAAAUUCUUCAGGCUUUUUUUUUGUUUGUUUUAACUUUGGAUUUAUCAAAAUGCCUUGUUCUGAUUUUAGCUUUUUCCAUUUUGAAGACAGUCCAAAGUCCUAUCACAGUGUGUUACCGCACAGAGUAUAACAUUUGCAAGAGUGAAAUGAAAAGUCGGUUUGAACUGGAAAAUCACAGCAAUGUCAUUAAAACAAAGGAAACGGGACAUUCUGAUGUUGUCAAAACUUUUUUUCUCUGGUUCCUUUCAAAAUCAGCUUCCAGCAAAACCAGCCUGAUUUUAUGAGGCAUUUUAGUUUUUGGCAGAGCCCCUCGCUCUGCCGCAGCAGUUUUGUCAUGGUUUCUCUGGCCGGGCUCGUGCGCUCUGUGCCCCCAUUCCUGGGCGGUGAAACGGGUGUGCAGUGUGUCCCCCAGCCUUCACCGCCCCUUGGCAUUGAGUCAACGGGGUCCCCGUCUCAACCCCAUUUCCCGGGCAUUAAAAUAGUCUACCAUUUGGGCUGUUAAAACAUUACUUAAAUGGCAGUUAUUAAUUUUGUGUUUUACCUCUGCAUCUUUCUCUUUGACUGGAAAUGUAUGAAAUACUAGAGAGAAAAAAAAGCAGAAAGUGAUGAGAUUAUUUUUCCUUACUGAAAGCCCUGAGCGUGGCGGUCCGUGCCUGCAGGUUUGGGGUCUGCUGAUGCCUUUGACCGUGCUGGCAUGGAUGCAACGGCAGCUCUGGCCCCUCUCCCCCCACCCCGGCUGCAGUUUGGCUUUGGGAAGACGUUGGUGCUGGUGCCUUCCUGCCACCCACGGUCCUCCUGGGCCCAAGAGGAUUUGGCUUUAUAUAGUACCUGGGAGAUCCACGUCAGAUAAGACUGGCAGGUUUUCAAAAGCUUCUCUCCAGCUUUUGUGCCAAGACCUAUAGGAUGCGUUCCAGAGCAUCUCCCAGGAAUGUUUGUUAUUAUGACAGGCAAA